UGAAUUCAGAGUUAAAGAACAAGGAGGGAGGAUUGCAGCCUUUAGAGAAGGGUACAGGGCCUGGAGACCCAAGAAAGUUCCUACCCUUCAUUCGCACCUGACAUUUCAGGAGCCUCUUAAUUUAGUCUCACAAGUCGAUGCCCACAGGAAGUGAGAGCCUGGCAGAUACCAGGAACUUCAGGAGGACUCCGGCUCAUUCUCUGAUUUGACUAAAGCUGUCUGGAAGAAGAAAACAUCAAUAUCCCGAAGGAAUGGAGAUGUUUCUAUGGAAAACCUAGGAAUUUUAGUCCAUAACAGAUCUGGCGUAAAAAAAAUCAAAGAGAUCAAAGGCAGA
rnacentral:lncRNA from 1 species